rnacentral:lncRNA from 7 species
GUUAUAUUUAUGAUCAUAAAAUCAUCAAGUUUGCAUGUAAAAUAAUGGCAGAUGUAGCAUAAAUGUUAUUCCUGUAGAAAUAUCAAAGUCACGUGAGAGACGAUAUAUUCAUCAUCAUAAAAUCCUCAAAUGGAAUGCAUAAAAGUUGCAGUGGUCGGCAUAAAAAUAUCAUGAAAUGCAUAACACAUGGAUCAGAUGAGGUCGUCGUUGGAAAACGCCACAAAACCACCGGAUUGGAGGAGGUCGUCGUCGGACGAUCCACGCUGUCACAACGGCAUCCAACUUGUUGGAGCUCGAAGAAUAGUUGGAGGUAGGAGGGCCUCGUCGUCACACGCACAUCAGGGGGUGCCGCUGCUCAGGCAUGUGUCUGGCCAGCGCUGCCGCUCACGCCUCUCGAGGCCACCUCCGCGCGCGCCCCUUGAGAACCACCGUCGGGCACCUUGUGGAGGAAUCGCCAUGCGCGUGCAUGGGAACCGCCACCGCCGCGCGCCUGGGGGAGCCACCGCCACCAUGCGCCUCGGGAACCAUCUUCGUUUGUGCAUCGGGGUGAGGCGUCAA